rnacentral:rRNA from 1 species
UUUCCAGACUCCUACGGGAGGCAGCAGUGAGGAAUAUUGGUCAAUGGGCGAGAGCCUGAACCAGCCAAGUCGCGUGAAGGAUGACGGCCCUACGGGUUGUAAACUUCUUUUGUCAGGGAGCAAUUGAGUCCACGUGUGGUCUUAGCGAGAGUACCUGAAGAAAAAGCAUCGGCUAACUCCGUGCCAGCAGCCGCGGUAAUACGGAGGAUGCGAGCGUUAUCCGGAUUUAUUGGGUUUAAAGGGUGCGUAGGCGGAAUAUCAAGUCAGCGGGAAAAAGUCGGGGCUCAACCCCGUCGUGCCGUUGAAACUGGCGUUCUUGAGUGAGCGAGAAGUAUGCGGAAUGCGUGGUGUAGCGGUGAAAUGCAUAGAUAUCACGCAGAACUCCGAUUGCGAAGGCAGCAUACCGGCGCUCAACUGACGCUCAUGCACGAAAGCGUGGGUAUCGAACAGGAUUAGAUACCCCGGUAUC